GGGUUGUGAGGUUAAGCGACUAAGCGUACACGGUGGAUGCCCUGGCAGUCAGAGGCGAUGAAGGGCGUGCUAAUCUGCGAUAAGCGCCGGUAAGGUGAUAUGAACCGUUAUAACCGGCGAUACCCGAAUGGGGAAACCCAGUGUGACUCGUCACACUAUCAUUAACUGAAUCCAUAGGUUAAUGAGGCGAACCGGGGGAACUGAAACAUCUAAGUACCCCGAGGAAAAGAAAUCAACCGAGAUUCCCCCAGUAGCGGCGAGCGAACGGGGAGGAGCCCAGAGCCUGAAUCAGCAUGUGUGUUAGUGGAAGCGUCUGGAAAGGCGCGCGAUACAGGGUGACAGCCCCGUACACAAAAGCGCAUGUGCUGUGAGCUCGAUGAGUAGGGCGGGACACGUGGUAUCCUGUCUGAAUAUGGGGGGACCAUCCUCCAAGGCUAAAUACUCCUGACUGACCGAUAGUGAACCAGUACCGUGAGGGAAAGGCGAAAAGAACCCCGGCGAGGGGAGUGAAAAAGAACCUGAAACCGUGUACGUACAAGCAGUGGGAGCAGUGACUGCGUACCUUUUGUAUAAUGGGUCAGCGACUUAUAUUCUGUAGCAAGGUUAACCGAAUAGGGGAGCCGGAGGGAAACCGAGUCUUAAUUGGGCGUUAAGUUGCAGGGUAUAGACCCGAAACCCGGUGAUCUAGCCAUGGGCAGGUUGAAGGUUGGGUAACACUAACUGGAGGACCGAACCGACUAAUGUUGAAAAAUUAGCGGAUGACCUGUGGCUGGGGGUGAAAGGCCAAUCAAACCGGGAGAUAGCUGGUUCUCCCCGAAAGCUAUUUAGGUAGCGCCUCGUGAAUUCAUCUCCGGGGGUAGAGCACUGUUUCGGCUAGGGGGCCAUCCCGGCUUACCAACCCGAUGCAAACUGCGAAUACCGGAGAAUGUUAUCACGGGAGACACACGGCGGGUGCUAACGUCCGUCGUGAAGAGGGAAACAACCCAGACCGCCAGCUAAGGUCCCAAAGUCAUGGUUAAGUGGGAAACGAUGUGGGAAGGCCCAGACAGCCAGGAUGUUGGCUUAGAAGCAGCCAUCAUUUAAAGAAAGCGUAAUAGCUCACUGGUCGAGUCGGCCUGCGCGGAAGAUGUAACGGGGCUAAACCAUGCACCGAAGCUGCGGCAGCGACACUGUGUGUUGUUGGGUAGGGGAGCGUUCUGUAAGCCUGUGAAGGUGUGUCGUGAGGCAUGCUGGAGGUAUCAGAAGUGCGAAUGCUGACAUAAGUAACGAUAAAGCGGGUGAAAAGCCCGCUCGCCGGAAGACCAAGGGUUCCUGUCCAACGUUAAUCGGGGCAGGGUGAGUCGACCCCUAAGGCGAGGCCGAAAGGCGUAGUCGAUGGGAAACGGGUUAAUAUUCCCGUACUUGGUGUUACUGCGAAGGGGGGACGGAGAAGGCUAUGUUGGCCGGGCGACGGUUGUCCCGGUUUAAGCGUGUAGGUGUGUGUUCCAGGUAAAUCCGGUUCACUUUAACACUGAGGCGUGACGACGAGGCACUACGGUGCUGAAGCAACAAAUGCCCUGCUUCCAGGAAAAGCCUCUAAGCAUCAGGUAACAUCAAAUCGUACCCCAAACCGACACAGGUGGUCAGGUAGAGAAUACCAAGGCGCUUGAGAGAACUCGGGUGAAGGAACUAGGCAAAAUGGUGCCGUAACUUCGGGAGAAGGCACGCUGACACGUAGGUGAAGUGAUUUACUCAUGGAGCUGAAGUCAGUCGAAGAUACCAGCUGGCUGCAACUGUUUAUUAAAAACACAGCACUGUGCAAACACGAAAGUGGACGUAUACGGUGUGACGCCUGCCCGGUGCCGGAAGGUUAAUUGAUGGGGUCAGCGCAAGCGAAGCUCCUGAUCGAAGCCCCGGUAAACGGCGGCCGUAACUAUAACGGUCCUAAGGUAGCGAAAUUCCUUGUCGGGUAAGUUCCGACCUGCACGAAUGGCGUAAUGAUGGCCAGGCUGUCUCCACCCGAGACUCAGUGAAAUUGAACUCGCUGUGAAGAUGCAGUGUACCCGCGGCAAGACGGAAAGACCCCGUGAACCUUUACUAUAGCUUGACACUGAACAUUGAGCCUUGAUGUGUAGGAUAGGUGGGAGGCUUUGAAGUGUGGACGCCAGUCUGCAUGGAGCCGACCUUGAAAUACCACCCUUUAAUGUUUGAUGUUCUAACGUGGACCCGUUACCCGGGUUGCGGACAGUGUCUGGUGGGUAGUUUGACUGGGGCGGUCUCCUCCUAAAGAGUAACGGAGGAGCACGAAGGUUGGCUAAUCCUGGUCGGACAUCAGGAGGUUAGUGCAAUGGCAUAAGCCAGCUUGACUGCGAGCGUGACGGCGCGAGCAGGUGCGAAAGCAGGUCAUAGUGAUCCGGUGGUUCUGAAUGGAAGGGCCAUCGCUCAACGGAUAAAAGGUACUCCGGGGAUAACAGGCUGAUACCGCCCAAGAGUUCAUAUCGACGGCGGUGUUUGGCACCUCGAUGUCGGCUCAUCACAUCCUGGGGCUGAAGUAGGUCCCAAGGGUAUGGCUGUUCGCCAUUUAAAGUGGUACGCGAGCUGGGUUUAGAACGUCGUGAGACAGUUCGGUCCCUAUCUGCCGUGGGCGCUGGAGAACUGAGGGGGGCUGCUCCUAGUACGAGAGGACCGGAGUGGACGCAUCACUGGUGUUCGGGUUGUCAUGCCAAUGGCACUGCCCGGUAGCUAAAUGCGGAAGAGAUAAGUGCUGAAAGCAUCUAAGCACGAAACUUGCCCCGAGAUGAGUUCUCCCUGAGACUUUAGGUCUCCUGAAGGAACGUUGAAGACGACGACGUUGAUAGGCCGGGUGUGUAAGCGCAGCGAUGCGUUGAGCUAACCGGUACUAAUGAACCGUGAGGCUUAACCUUACAACGCCGAAG
rnacentral:rRNA from 1 species